AUUAUUCAACCCGCCAUUGUCAUGCUGGUUUAGCAGGCUAAAUUCAGUUGCUUAGCCGAUAAUGGAGGAUACUGAAUAGUUAGGAAUUUCCUGAACUAUGAUUUAUAAAAAGGCAGACUGUGGUCUAUGAAAUGUUGAUUCUCAAAAGUUGAUUUGGAAUAUUUCUGUUUUUGAUAAUGAUUAUAAUUCUGUUCUGUUGAUUGAAUUGUUUAUUGAUCUAAAUUGUUAGAAUUGGAUUAGUUUUUAUAAAAUAUGUGGACCAGAUUCGUGGUCAGACCAGAUUCGUGGUCAAUUAUAGGCCAAUGUGUGCCUUGGAUCCGGUAUAGAGAACAAGGCUGUGUGCCAUGUUCGGGGUUAGUGCGUGACUGAUCAGCAGCCUAACCUUUGGUUUUCAAGUAAAAAUGUGAUGAAUCCAAUUCGACAAUUCUUCUAAAAGCUUAAAGAUGAAUUGCAUGAUUGAGAUUGCGAGUAUGGCUAAGGCUAGGCGAGGAGUCAGAGUAUAGAGUAUACAGAGGACAAGUGGAAAUGUUCAGGGAGAUUGUCAAGGUUGGUUCUAGAUAGAAUUGUUGAGAUUCAGUUGUAAUCAUAAUUUAAAUAGAUUGGCAGUGAUUCUUCUCAUUGAAGAUGAUCUGAGGUUGUAAGACAUUGUUUAUUUAUAGUGGUUGAUUCUAAUUUCAA